UUGCUUCAGCAGCACAUUUACUAAUAUUAGAAGGAUGCAAAGAAGAUUAGUCUGGCCCCUUUGCAAGGAUGACAAGCAAAUUCAGAAAGCAUUCCAUAUUUUU
ensembl:snRNA U6 U6 spliceosomal RNA